rnacentral:lncRNA from 1 species
GCAAAGUAUGGCUGAUUUUGUCCAUUUGUAUCUCAUGAGAGUUGUCUUCAUGUACAUAUCCGGGCAAGCCAAAGUCUAGCCAUUUUUGGACUUUGCAUAGGUUGCUAUCCUUAUAAAGAUUUCUUUCACAGUCUUAACCUCCUUUGAUGCUUCAUCCAUCAAUAUUUUCAUAUAUAAAUGGCCAUUCUAUGCCGAUUAGUUGUGACAUGUUCAGUAUAUAAGCCAAUCUUGAAGAGUUGGUUUCACUAUGUUUGAGUUCAUGAGAUCCUUCCACCGGAAUCAUAGAGUCAUGCAUCAGCUACAUUGGUAUUCCCCAAGAAGGAUUUAUUGUUUUCAGUGACCACCUCUACCUCAUCCUCACCAUCCUUUGCAUCCAAAUUCCAUAAGACCAACAACUGAUGUAAGAAAGAUAGUAGGUAGCUCACAUCUAUCCAGUCCCUCUCUAGUAAUGCAUUGUAGGUAGAGAUCACUUCAAUUAUGAAGGAAGUGCUCAUGAAAAUUCAAGUUCCAACUGCAGAUAGACCAAUAGCACCCCCUUGGGCUUGCAUCAGUCAUCCAUGAAGUUGGUCACUACUAUAUCUACCACUAGCAAAUCUUCUUCACUCUUGCCGAGUUUUUUCAUGAUGUUGACAUAAUGUUGAUAACAACUCUAUUAUCUGCUAGAACCUCCCU